rnacentral:misc_RNA from 1 species
AUAUUGAAUAUAAUCGAAUAAAGUUUAUAAGUUUACAUUGACUAUAAUAUAUAAUUAAUAUAUAAUUGUAUCAAUACAUUUAAUGUAUAUAAUUUAAUGUAUAUAAAUAAUAUAUAUAAAACU